GUGAUUCAAAGCUUUUGCUCUUGAAGGGUGCUGCUAUAUAAAGAAGAUUUGAGCAAAUGUGAAAGCACCGCACCCUGUGUGAUAAUUUGACUCACGAGAAAGAAGGAUAGGUUUUGGUUAUGGAAGGUUAGCACUCCUAUCUCCUGCCAUAUUAUAAAUUCAGAUCCUCAACACUUCUGCUAAAAUCGCGACAGCUCAUAAGAAAAAACUCUUCAUUCUUGCUUACCUUUAUGAGAGUGAAUGAUCAAAUUGGUCCACAAUUUAGAAAUAAAUACAAGGCUGCCUACUUUCUCCACCUUGAAUCUCAAAUAUCAACCGAUCAGCCGAGCCAAAUAAUGAUCACAAUAAUGGUCUUUGGCUACUUUUAGUCCUGUGCCACACCUCUCCUGCUAUAUCAACCCAUUGAUUGCUUUUUAAGUUUUUUUUUUUUUUUUACAAAUACAUUAAAAUAUUUUUUUUUUAUUUUUGUCAUUAUCAUAUAAAAAUAAAAAAUAUAUAUAAAAUAAAAUCAAUUCGACGUAUUUUCUACGUAAACAUGCUCUUAAAACAUACCACGAACAUAGUUACGGUCGUAAUUCUUUCUCAUGUCAGGCCAAUAUACAUGAAGGCAACAAAAAGAUUGUUACUGCAAGUGAAUGCUGAUUCAGCAUGCCAAGUGUCAUCACACUUGGCAUGAUGAGUCAGCAUCCAACAAAUGCAAAGAAUUACUUGAAAACAACAGGAGUUAAAAAAUUAACUUACCAACUGUUGCUGUGUUGUAGGUGGAAAUCCCAGGCUGGCCCACAGCUAAUGACCCGGUAAUUACUGUUUUACCCAUCCCGUCACCUAAAAACACCACAUUUUUUUUCUCUAACGGCACUCUAACUAUCUCGUUGUAAACUCCCUCCUUUAUGUGGAUCACGUAUCUAUGU
rnacentral:lncRNA from 1 species